rnacentral:rRNA from 1 species
GAGAUGGGGAUAACUAUUAGAAAUAGUAGCUAAUACCGAAUAAAGUCAAUUAAGAUGUUAGUUGAUGAAAGGAAGCCUUUAAAGCUUCGCUUGUAGAUGAGUCUGCGUCUUAUUAGCUAGUUGGUGGGAUAAGAGCCUACCAAGGCUAUGAUAAGUAACCGGCCUGAGAGGGUGAUCGGUCACACUGGAACUGAGAUACGGUCCAGACUCCUACGGGAGGCAGCAGCUAAGAAUCUUCCGCAAUGGGCGAAAGCCUGACGGAGCGACACUGCGUGAACGAAGAAGGUCGAAAGAUUGUAAAGUUCUUUUAUAAGUGAGGAAUAAGCUUUGUAGGAAAUGACAAAGCGAUGACGUUAAUUUAUGAAUAAGCCCCGGCUAAUUACGUGCCAGCAGCCGCGGUAAUACGUAAGGGGCGAGCGUUGUUCGGGAUCAUUGGGCGUAAAGGGUGAGUAGGCGGAUAUGCAAGUCUAUGUGUAAAAUACCACAGCUCAACUGUGGAACUAUGCUGGAAACUGCAUGACUAGAGUCUGAUAGGGGAAGUUAGAAUUCCUGGUGUAAGGGUGGAAUCUGUUGAUAUCAGGAAGAAUACCAGAGGCGAAGGCGAACUUCUAGGUCAAGACUGACGCUGAGUCACGAAAGCGUAGGGAGCAAACAGGAUUAGAUACCCUGGUAGUCUACGCUGUAAACGAUGCACACUUGGUGUUAAUCGAAAGGUUAGUACCGAAGCUAACGUGUUAAGUGUGCCGCCUGGGGAGUAUGUUCGCAAGAAUGAAACUCAAAGGAAUUGACGGGGGCCCGCACAAGCGGUGGAGCAUGUGGUUUAAUUCGAUGAUACGCGAGGAACCUUACCAGGGCUUGACAUAUACAGGAUAUAGUUAGAGAUAACUAUUCCCCGUUUGGGGUCUGUAUACAGGUGCUGCAUGGUUGUCGUCAGCUCGUGCCGUGAGGUGUUGGGUUAAGUCCCGCAACGAGCGCAACCCUUGUUGUCUGUUACCAGCAUGUAAAGAUGGGGACUCAGACGAGACUGCCGGUGAUAAGCCGGAGGAAGGUGAGGAUGACGUCAAAUCAUCAUGGCCCUUAUGUCCUGGGCUACACACGUGCUACAAUGGCCUGUACAAAGCGAUGCGAAACAGUGAUGUGAAGCAAAACGCAGAAAGCAGGUCUCAGUCCAGAUUGAAGUCUGAAACUCGGCUUCAUGAAGUUGGAAUCGCUAGUAAUCGUAUAUCAGAAUGAUACGGUGAAUACGUU